rnacentral:rRNA from 1 species
AUCGAACGCUGGCGGCAGGCCUAACACAUGCAAGUCGAGCGAGCGGAGGACGGGUGAGUAAUGUAUGGGGACUGCCCGAUAGAGGCGGAUAACUAGUGGAAAAGGUGGCUAAAACCGCAUAAUGUAGGAUACGCCAUAUGGGAUUAGCUAGUAGGUAGGGUAAUGGCUUACCUAGGCGACGAUCCCUAGCUGGUCUGAGAGGAUGAUCAGCCACACUGGGACUGAGACACGGCCCAGACUCCUACGGAGGCAGCAGUGGGGAAUAUUGCACAAUGGGCGCAAGCCUGAUGCAGCCAUGCCGCGUGUAUGAAGAAGGCCUUAGGGUUGUAAAGUACUUUCAGUCGGGAGGCGUUACCGACAGAAGAAGCACCGGCUAACUCCGUGCCAGCAGCCGCGGUAAUUC